AUGAAACAGACACAGUUAGGACAAGCACAUACGGUCAGCAUGGCGGGCGUCCUGCUGCUCGUGCUGCUCGUUCUCAUGCCAGCGUCGGCCACGGCGAUCGGCCACGUCUGCGGCAGCGGCGGCAACUACACGGCCAACAGCACCUACCAGUCCAACCUCGCCGUGCUCAACGCCACCCUCCCCGGAAACGCCUCCUCCUCCCCGCAGCUCUUCGUCACCGCCACCGCCGACGCAAACACAAACGGGACCGCCGGCAUGGUGCGCGGGCUCGCGCUCUGCCGCCAUGACACCACAAACCUCACCGCGUGCAGGGAGUGCGUCGCCUCCUCGUUCGCGUACGCGCACAAGAUGUGCCCCAACCACACGGCCGCCUCCGUCUACUACGACUACGACGAGACGAACGCCCUGAAGCCAGGGUGCCUCCUCGGCUUCUCCGGCGACCGCGGCUUCCUCAGCACGGCGUCCGGCACCACCGGUAACGGUACCUUCUUCCAGUAUUUCAACACGGUGAACAUCGCUGGCAACGCCGGCGUCGUCGCUGCGGCCGUCCGCCAGCUCCUUGCGCAGACGGCACGGUAUGCCGCCGCCGCGGCGAGGAGGUUCGCCACAGGGUUCAUGGACGGCGGCACCACGACAACACUCUACGCCCUGGCCCAGUGCACGCCGGACCUGUCCGCCGGGGACUGCGUGGCGUGCCUCCAGCGGCUUGUGGGCUCGAUCAACGCCACCAACUCCGUGCGCCUCGGUGGCCGGAUCUUCCGGCUCCGCUGUAACGUCAGGUUCGAGGCCUUCAUGUUCUUCGACGACAAGAACAUGCGGCGGAUUCCAUCUCCGUCAUCCAUGGCUCAGCCACCGGCGCCCGCGCCGGCUCCGGCAAACAAGAGACAUGGAGUAAAACCUUGGGUAAUCGCCUUAUCGGUGGCUGCUUCUGUGGCACUAGUUGCACUCUGUUUCAUCGUCUACUGUCUUCGGCGGCUUAGAACAAAGAGCACAAAAGGUAAAGGGGCCUUACAAGGAAAACGUACUCACGAGUUUCAAGAAGGAGAUGAUCAAGUUUGGGAAAUGGAAACAGAGUUGGCCGAGUUUUCAGUAUUUGACUUCAAUCAGAUAUUAGAGGCGACAGAUAACUUUUCCGAGGAAAACAAACUUGGCGAAGGUGGAUUUGGCCCUGUUUAUAAGGGCCGCUUUCCUGAUGGAGUGGAGAUAGCAGUUAAGAGACUUGAUGCGGAUUCAGGACAAGGUUUCAUAGAGUUCAAAAAUGAAGUUGAGCUCAUAGCCAAACUGCAACAUAGGAAUUUGGUUAGGCUCAUGGGAUGUUGCUCUCAAGGAGAGGAGAAAAUACUGGUCUAG
rnacentral:rRNA from 1 species